rnacentral:rRNA from 1 species
GACGGAGGAUGCAAGUGUUAUCCGGAAUCACUGGGCGUAAAGCGUCUGUAGGUUGUUUAAAAAGUCUGCAGUUAAAGGUUGAAGCUUAACUUCAAAAAUGCCGUAGAAACUUUUAAACUAGAGGAUGGUAGGGGUAGAGGGAAUUUCCAGUGGAGCGGUGAAACGUGUAGAUAUUGGAAAGACCACCGAUGGCGAAGGCACUCUACUGGGCCAUGACUGACACUGAGAGACGAAAGCUAGGGGAGCAAAUGGG